rnacentral:rRNA from 1 species
UACGUAGGGUGCAAGCGUUUGUCCGGAAUUAUUGGGCGUAAAGAGCUCGUAGGCGGUCUGUUGCGUCGGCUGUGAAAACCCGGGGCUCAACCCCGGGCCUGCAGCCGAUACGGGCAGACUAGAGUCGGCAGGGGAGACUGGAAUUCCUGGUGUAGCGUGAAAUGCGCAGAUAUCAGGAGGAACACCGCGGCGAAGGCGGGCGCUGGCGGCAAUACUCUGAGGAGCGAAAAGCGUGGGGUAGCAAACGG